AUCCAAUGUUGCAAAACAACAAGUUAUUCCUGAGAUUCUCUUGAAGAAUUACAAAAUUGAGCUUUUUAACGCUUAUGGUUA
rfam:Hordeum vulgare subsp. vulgare, WGS project CAJW01000000 data, contig: morex_contig_6022